rnacentral:rRNA from 1 species
UACAGAGGGUGCAAGCGUUGUUCGGAAUUAUUGGGCGUAAAGCGCGUGUAGGCGGCCAUUUAAGUCUGGUGUGAAAUCCCUCGGCUCAACCGAGGAAGUGCAUUGGAUACUGAAUGGCUAGAGGAUGAGAGAGGAGAGUGGAAUUCCAGGUGUAGGGGUGAAAUCCGUAGAUAUCUGGAGGAACACCAGAGGCGAAGGCGGCUCUCUGGCUCAUUUCUGACGCUGAGACGCGAAAGCGUGGGGAGCAAACAGG